rnacentral:rRNA from 1 species
ACGCUCGACACCUACGGAAGGCAGCAGUGGGGAAUAUUGCACAAUGGGGGAAACCCUGAUGCAGCGACGCCGCGUGGAGGAAGAAGGUCUUCGGAUUGUAAACUCCUGUUGUUGGGGAAAAAGAGGAUGGUACCCAACAAGGAAGUGACGGCUAACUACGUGCCAGCAGCCGAGGUAAUCUGAGCGGGCUGGCAAGGC